rnacentral:rRNA from 1 species
GAUCCUGGCUCAGGAUGAACGCUAGCUACAGGCUUAACACAUGCAAGUCGAGGGGCAGCAUGUUGGUUGCUUGCAACCAACGAUGGCGACCGGCGCACGGGUGAGUAACGCGUAUCCAACCUUCCGCAUACUCGGGAAUAGCCUUUCGAAAGAAAGAUUAAUGCCCGAUGGUUUCCCGAAUCCGCAUGAGAGCGGGAAUAAAGAUUCAUCGGUAUGCGAUGGGGAUGCGUCCCAUUAG